CGACUUCCAGUUGACAACAUCCGUCAUCUUCUACAGAGGGGAAGCACCAUCCCGGUUUAGGGCUAUUACAUACAGAAAGAAAAGCGAACAAACCAUUUCAGGGCGAACAUCACAUCCACCUUCAUGACAAAAGAAACAUGCAGGGACAUCACUCUAAACGUAAAAUCAAGUCUUGAAGAUCCCCUUUAGUCUGUUGGAGACUGAAGAACAACUAUUGCCGCAGCUCCCUCCAUCUCUACAAAAGCAUUUGACUCUGAGGAUGAAGGUGUACAUCGUGGUCCUGCUGGUCCUCGUGGCUGUGGUCGCUGCAGCUGACGUCGACAAGCGACAGUUACUACGAAAAUCUGUAAACUUAAUGGAGGCAUUGUUCAUUGUGGACGAUAGCUGAGAUCCAUGACCUGGUGAACAGGCUGAACUUGGUGCUUGCAUCUCACUCUGCUGUAACCUUCAGUGUCUGUAAGGCUGAGUGUCACAGAAUUGCUGGCACUGUGCCCCUCUUGUGUAAUGAAGCUUGUGAAAUAGUCGUCCAAGAACAUGAAGUGAGGAGCUUCACGAACCUGGUGAACACGCUGAAGGCUCACUCUGUCCUAACCAUGACUGCCUGUGAGAAUACGUGUCACUUCGUCGCUGGCUCUGCAUCCUCCAUGUGUCCUUCAGCUUGUGAACUCGUCAUUAGCGAACUGGUUGGAUGAGGUCUGCUCUUUUCAGGACUCUGUCUCACCCUUGGCUUGCUGGUACAACAACAGCCGAUGAUAAUAAUACACCUUUGAAAGAAAACAAUUUGCUUGUUUUGUAUUUGACAGGAAGACUUCAUCAACAUGACUAAUGCCGAUUUGAAAGUACUGUAGACAACUCCACCACACAGUAAACUGUAUUAUCAAUUAAUCACAAGUAUCGACGGAGGCAGUAUGUUUUAAAUAGACAUUUCUGCUUAAUAAUGAUAAACAUCACAAAUCAGCUAGAGUGAGUACUGCGUAGUAAUUAAAAUAUUUCUUUUAAAAAACUGACUGCUUAGAAACAUGCCUUUUUUAUCCCAUUAUCUUUGGUAUCCCGUAGCUCAUCACUGAGCUUAAAUUAGGAAUGCGGAAAUUGUUUUUCUCCAAUGACCAUUUUGAUAUUUAUAACAUCAUUUGCGAGACAUACAAAAUUAUCUACUUAAAACUACGGCUACUACUUGGUCAAGCUGUAGUUUUGCAGCUAAGGUGUUUGUCCUCUGCACCACCCCCCUAUUCCGCUCUUUGGUAAUUAGGUGCACAAAACCUAUCAAGCAAUUAAUACAGCGUUGAGAAACAACUGUUUGGAGUCUGUAAAGUAUGUUUAUAAUAAAUAUGAAACAGAUUAUAUAGGAACAAAAUCCUUUUCUUUAGCAACCUACAAAUAUUUCAAGCUAGAUUUGAAUUACAAAUCGGUCAGGUGAAGCUCAUUCCGCUAAUUUUUGUGAGCUGUGGUCACUGGUCAAAACUUUUGCUAUCUUUCUAAAUGGCAUUUCUCUCGUCUUCGCAAUCUUCUCUUCAAAGAUAUAUCUAUCCUGUACUCAUCUACACACACACACACACACACACACACACUAUCCAGCACACACCAUGUAGAACCAUUUAUUGUUUGCAAAUAAAAGUUUCAUCGCUUUACAUAUCAAUAUAUAAUGUAAGCUAAUGUCCAAUGCUUCACUACUUUCUGCGAUAAAAAAACGACAAACAGAAACUCUCAGGAUUAUUUCGAAGGACAUUAUCGUUACUAGAUUUUAGAGGGUGUGUCACGAUACAGAUAAGUUCUCGGUCAGGGUCAUCAGGAAUAUGCCAGACAAUCACGCAUGCAAGUCAAUAAAAGCAAGACUGCCUGUGUGUGGACGUCUACAUUGGUAGUCUGCUACAGCAGAACAGACUCUGAAAAUGAAAAUAUUCAUCGUGUUCCUGCUGGCACUUGUAGUUCUGAGCUGUGCCGCUGAGGUCGACAAGCGAUUAUUAUUGGACCUACAUGAAUGGAAAGCCAAGAUAGAAAGUUACCUGCACGCUCACGGUCAAGUGCUGACGUCACACACCUGUGAUGCUGGCUGCGCUGCAGUGAGUGAAUACCCAGCUGCUCUGUGUGGUGCACUGUGUGCCAUUCUUGGUUUUGACCGAUAAAGAGUUGCGGCAUGUUCCUGAUGUUCAGUUGGCGAUGUGAAAUAAAUAUUUCAAAGCAGUAGUUUGUUUAUUAUGUGCAUUGUAAUUUGUACAUCUAAAUGUGAUGCGUUAAUAUAAAAUAAUAAAAGUAUGAUAUGUUUCCAAGAAAUGGAUUUGUGACAAUUGUUUAAAUGAAGCAACCCUGACGAAUGACUAAUGGUUCUGAGAAGACUAUAAGAUUGUCAGCCCUCUGUCUAUUUGCACCUUCGCUAAGCUUGUAGAUGUCACCAUUGUUAAGGUGAUGGUCUAAGUUGCAAGCAGGAAGACAGAGAAACAGAGAAGUUUCACUAAUAGACACAGUUAUGAAGACAGUGCCGAAAAAUGAUAUCCUUGUAUUCGGGGAUUGGAAAGUCAAGUUCGGCCCCGACGCCAAUAGCAACGGGCAGGACCGGUGGGUACAUUUUACCUUUGUGAACCCAACAAAAGAUUCGCCAUGAAGGAUUUUUAAAACUUAGCGAAGAUUUCUUAUGAGCAGUCAACAGCACAAACAAACGUAGUCUUAUCAUAACAUGUCAGUAAUGAGGUUCAGUGACGGUUGCAACAGUCAGACAUAAAAAUGGAAUAAAAGGCGUCUUAUCUGCACGUCCUGCGACAUCCCACGUCCGUUAAAGAAACUGAGAUAAGAAGAUAAGUCACGGACUCUGAGAAUGAAGGUGUACAUCGUUGUCUUGCUGGCACUCGUGGCCUUGGCAGCCUCCUCUGAUGUCCACAAACGACUCAAUCUGCCUAACCUCGGUGACCUGCUGGAGAAGUUGAAAGUCGCUCUGUCAUCCUUCUCUGAUGUCAACGUUACUGUCUGCGAAAAUGUAUGCGAGGCCAUUGCUGGUGAUAGAUCCUCCUUGUGUGGUGUAUCUUGCCCCAUCGUCAUCACAGAACUGCAAAGAACGAUCGGAUGAGUGCUGACUUGCUCAGGGUUUUGUCUCAGCCAGUCGACAGUAUCAAAUAAAGCUGAUAUAAACAGUUAUCUCGUCCCAGUUUCUGUUACUAACCCCAACAACAGAUUUUGUCCUAAAAGUCAGCCAUGCGCUGUAUGCAUGUCUCUGAUAGUCACGUGUUCAACGCGAAUAAAAAGCAAGGCUCGUGGUGUCUAAGCAUCUCGAGAAUUUCAGAUCAUCGUUAAAAAAGUCAAAGACUCUGAGGAUGAAGGCGUACAUCGUGGUCCUGCUGGUCUUCAUGGCUGUGGCCGCAGCCGCUGACUUCAAUCAAGCAUUUCUGUCUGGCUUCAAUGAUCUGGUCAGCCAGCUGAAGGCCGCACUGGCAUCUCACCAUUCCGCGACCUAUGAAAUCUGUCAAUCUCUCUGCGUUGCUGUUGCUGGCGAUGAGUCCCAAUUGUGUAGUCCAGCUUGUCACAUAGUGAUUCAAGAACUGGGUCUAUGAGUGCUGAUCUCUUCGGGACUCUGUCCACCUUACCCUACAUACAGAUAUUUAAACGCAUAAAAAAACCGACGAUUUAAAAUAAACCUAUAAAAACAAUUUUGUUGCUGGUUUUGCAUUUCCAUGGCUAUGUACGGCCAUCGAUCCUGCAUGAUACUUCAGUAAAACUCUGUACACAAAGACCUUUUAAUUACUUUGACGAUUUCUGGCUGGGACACGGCCUCAGUAGACCUUCAAGUUACUACAUAUACCAGAUUAUAAUAAAUGCUAUCAUUAUCUCUUUCAUUGAGAGUCUUCUUUGAUGUCUCCUCCGUCAGAUCCGAAGCUUCAUAAUGAACAAAGACACAACAGUCUUUCUCCUGGCUUCUUCUCUUUUCAAAGUAAGAAGAACACUAACAGGAACCACAUCCCCAACCCCCAAAACAAAACAACAAAAAUUGGACGAGGGCGACAAUCAAUGCUGCUUAAAACAAAGAAGGGCAAUAACCCACGUUUCUAGCAGGCUGUAAGGUUCACAGUAAGUCUACUUCUAGCUUAUCUCCCAUCUUGCUGGUACUUUAGUUAGAGGUCUUCAUAAGAUAUUCGUGUAGCUGCUGUUGAGGAUUAGUUUAACUGACUGUUGGCACUACUCAGAAGGUCAGCACAAACAAUUUCGUAUUCAAUAGAAAAUCUCAGUGCCAUGAACAGAUCAUGACAAUUGCUAGACAGACUCUAAGUCUGUGCUCACCAGAUGUACACCAGUCUGAUUCUCCAUCAAGCAAAUAGUUUGAAAGGUAUUAUAAUAUAAUGUAAUGUAGGAGUCACAGUCCCCUCCUCGAAUAAUCAGAUGCCUUCUUUUUUAGUGUUUUCUUUAUUUCAAAAGCUGUUCUAUAGACUGUGGCUGGAUUUGCUAAACUUUUUGUUUACUUGAAAUUCUUUUAUAGGCCUUAGCUUUUUUCACUUAUUUUUCCAAAUCUUCAUGAAAGCCAUCUCUAGAAGCAAUAUCAAACCCUAUAAAACCAUGAAACUUAAGUAAAACAUUUUGACACAUCACUUACAAAUUACUUUGAAGUUAUUUAUGAUGAACUUUUUACUUUUAAAAAAUAUCGAAGUCCACAAAUUGACCAUAUACUGGGAGCCAGUAAAAAAUGUUUUAAUAAAAAUAUGUCAGGGUGCGUAGCCUGUAAGCUACCGUUUAUCAUGAACAUUUUAUCCAUUAUCAAGACCAAGUCCUAUUUAUUCACACUAGCAAAAGUAGAAUUUUCAUUUUAAAAAAUCUUACUGAUCAGUGACCACGUGAUCGUCACGCAGCGAAUAUAAAUAAAGAGCAACACCUGUAGAAUCUCGGCGUCAACAUCUGUUGUAAGACUACGUCUGCUCUAGAACCAAAGUGUCAGAGGAUGAAGGUGUACAUCGUGGUCCUGCUGGUCCUCGUGGCUGUGGUCGCUGCCGCUGACGUCGACAAGCGACUGUUACUACCUAGCGUCAGCGAUCUGGUGGCCAAGGUAGAGGCUGCACUGCAAUCAUCCUCCAGCUGUGAAACUGUCUGUGAAACCAUCGCAGGUGCCUUGAAGUUGUUGUGCCCAGAAGUUUGUGGAUUGGUAAAUGGAGGACCAGGCCCAGUAAUCGUGAGCUGAUCUCUGAAAGGUGGUGUACUCUUUGAGACUUACAAAAAAUUCAUGUAAAAGAAGUGAAUGCACAGAAAUUAAAUCUUGGAGGAAAAAAACUGUUUCUGUUUGUUGAUCGUUAACUCAUCUUUAAUUUACAUGUUGCCCGUCUUUCUGAAACAUAUCAUUUAUCCUGCCCCUGUUGUAUAUUUUAAUACGGUCAGCUAGAGAUCACUGACUGUUGUCUCUAGGAGUUUGAGUGACUCACCAUGCUUACAUGUUCCGUUUUAAGGAUUUCAGAAGCAAUCACCUAAGAAAAAAAAUAGAAGAUCAAGCAUAACACUAGAUAUCUAAGUGACUUGUUCGACAAGAAAAUUGUAGUUCGAGUAAGUUCUUGCUUUCCUAAGGUUAUCUCCCUUGUGAAGUCGAGUGUGUUUCGUACAGUUUAUGUGAUGAACACCAGUUGUACUGUUGUGCAUCGUGACCGUUUGCUUACCCACACACUACCUGAGGGGUCUGUAGUUUAUAUCUUGUUCCUUUAAAACCUAAAAUACAUUUCAGGUCUGACCAGCAUAUACUCAUUGCCACCUGUUAAUCACAAAAUGAAUGAUCCAAGUUAUCAGCUAAUAGUUGAGAGAAAAUUCUUCGAAGAAUCUUCUAUUUAAAAAAUAUGGCUGGAUGGUUUUAAAAACUAACAAGGCAUCAAAGCAGUCUUGUUUGAACAUGUAGCAUAUUAAGGUCUUUUAAGGGGUGUGAAAACUAAAAGCUAAGCAACAUCAGCUCCGAGAAGUUAAAUGUGCAAACUGCAGAGGGUCAAACUUUCAUUCUCUAAAAUUGUCAAGGCCUACAAAGUUUUGGCCACUGGCAUAUACAGUCACUAAGAUAUGAUACACUGUCACUGCUAAAGCAGAACAAGACGUGUAUACUUACCUUAUCGCUGACGGUGGCCCUUAUAAAUUCCAACCACUCCCAUUUCCUACCUUUUCAUGACUGUUCGCUUCUUUCAGUAGAUACCUUACUUGAUUAUUUAGAGGUUCAAAAUACGAAAAUAAGUUCUCUGAAAAAUAACUUUUCGUUGCAAACUGGAUCAUCAACCACACACGUUAGGCAAGAUUUGUGGACACCUACAGGUAUAACGGUCAAGUCUGCAAAGAUGAAGAGGAUCCUGAUAUUCCCGGUGGUCCUGUUGGCUGUUGCGGCUGUUGCUCCUCAAGUGGACAAGCGCAACGUCAUCACUGAGCUACUGGACUGGAUGAAGUUGAACCUGGUCUUCCACCAGCCAGUGUCGGAGACGGUCUGUGAGACGACCUGCCGCGCCGGAGCUGGUGAACUCAUCUUCCUGUGCCCAUCGGUGUGCUCGGUAUUGCUUGGACACGAAAAGUGAACACUGUAUUUUUUGCAAGCAACUAAAUAAUGACUUCAAAUAAAUACUUUUAAAAGUC